rnacentral:misc_RNA from 1 species
GCCUCCCUUUCGGCUUUUUGUGCCCUUCUAAUUUCCGCUGCUGAAACGCGAGUCAUAUGUGGAGGAAGUUCUUCCCUCUCCAAAUCCAGCUCUCCAAUUAAAACAACAUUCUCGCCUCGAAUAACAUAUAGACCUAAAGGUAUAUCACAAUAGAGGUCACCGACAAUAACCCUUUCGCAUGCACCCUCGAGAACAGCAUUGGCAAAUUGAUCAAAAGAACGUAAUAUUCCCAGGAGCUUUCGGCCAUCUCGCAGAAGCACUAGUAGCUUCUUAUCAAGAUAGCUAGCAAGAGAAGUAGAAAGGUAGAUAUCUUCCGGUCCUGCCCAAGACAUCGAUAAGCUCAAGCUCUAUCUUAUUCGGUACUGCAAAAAUCACCGAACACCAACCCAAAAAAAUGGCAUUGGCUACUCACAAUUCCUCCUUUAGCCACCUCACCACGCUACCACUUCAAUCUAAAACCUCCAAACAAAGAAUAACAAUCAACCCAAAAGAUAGAAAAACCCUAAUCUCUCGAUCAAACCAAAAGUCAAACCACAAAACCUAACUGCUCCAAUCCCAAAGAAAUCCAAAUUGCUAAAGAAAACCUCCAAAAAUUCAGGUUACAAACCCUAACUACUCCUACAAUCACCGAGAAAGGAAAAAACAAGAAAGCGGUAAAUUGGGUAAUCUUGUAUAGAUCCAAAAAGCGUAAAGAGUAGAAAUUGGAGAUUUCUCUUCCGGAUUGAAUGAACAGAAUGGGAAUUGUAAAAGAAGUCCCUCAGAUCCAAUCGCACCGGAAGAGAUGAAAAGAGAAAAGAGAAGGGGAUAGGAACAGAGAGGGAAAAGUGGGAGAAAAAGUAGGAAAAUGAAUUCGGGGAAAAGAAAAUUGCUAGGGUUUGGAGGAUUGCAUGGGAGGCGUUGGAGAAAUGAGAGGUAUCGUUGAAGGUGUAGGUUCUGGCUCCAUUUUGUUUUUCUUUUGGGUUUUGUUUGGCUUCUCUUGAUUGAUUGAGGAUUCAGC